rnacentral:rRNA from 1 species
GACGUAGGGCGCGAGCGUUGUCCGGAAUUAUUGGGCGUAAAGAGCUUGUAGGCGGUUUGUCGCGUCUGCUGUGAAAUUUCGGGGCUCAACCCCGAACUUGCAGUGGGUACGGGCAGACUAGAGUGUGGUAGGGGAGACUGGAAUUCCUGGUGUAGCGGUGAAAUGCGCAGAUAUCAGGAGGAACACCGAUGGCGAAGGCAGGUCUCUGGGCCACUACUGACGCUGAGAAGCGAAAGCAUGGGGGAGCGAGCAGG